UUUUCAUUCAUCAGCCGUUUCAUUCUUAACCUAUUCCUUUUUCAUUCACCAGCAUCUCUUCCUGUUUUUCUUCACCAAGGCCCUCCUCCUCUGAAAUUUUCUCCUCCAGGAACGACAUUUUCGCCCUCCUCCCCUGGAAGAAUUAAGGCUACGGAUCUCAGAUCCGCGAUGCAUAUGGAAUUCAAGAUUUGAUUCGGAGCUUCCAUUCUCAGAUUUCUGCAUCAGAAAUCUAGGACAUUUCCACAAAAAUACAUCUUCUUGGUUCACUGUCCAGGUAAAGUUUUACUUCUAUGUGUAUACUGAUAUAAAAAUACCAUUUUUUUGCUUCAAGUUGUUGGCAGUUUGGUUUAAAUUGAAAACCCCUAGCUGAAUCGAGGAGUGAUAAAAAUGAAAAUGAUGGAGCACUUACAAGAAUUCUCUAUGUGCUCAAGAGAGUUCAAUGUGCAUUGUUUGAUGUAAGUCACUUUCUCAAGUAAGUCUCUUCUCUUUUCUCUAUUCACUUUUAUUUCAAUUUUUUGUAUUUCACUAGCAGAAUAAAAAAAUAGAUUGUGCUGUUUGACAAUGAAAAUAUGUGAAUCUACAAAAGAGAGAUGACACCCCCAAAGCAGUAAUCAUUACUUGACAGCAGCAAGGAACUUUUGGGUCCUCCUAGGGGCUCAUUGGCUCAUCUUCCUAUCAAGUUAGAGUGCAUUGAGUUGGGCCUUUGGAUGUUAGAAAAAGAUAUUCGUGAUAAUGAAAGCUAAGUUGCUGCAACUUGGAGGCAAGGAACUAUUUUCUGUGUUGAAAAUUCAAGAUAAUGAAAGCUAAAUUUUUGUAGGAUGUAAUGUACAAGAACUAAUAGCUAUUAGGAAGAUUACAUACUUUGUAAUUGGUAUUUACUGAGUGAGUGAAGAGACAAGGCAGUUGCAAUAUGUAGUUAUAAAUUUUUACUUUAAAUGUUAUGAUUAAUUAAAGCAUUGUUGUUGUACCUCUUUGU